rnacentral:rRNA from 1 species
AGAGUUUGAUCCUGGCUCAGGAUGAACGCUAGCUACAGGCUUAACACAUGCAAGUCGAGGGGCAGCAUCGCGAUAGCUUGCUAUUGCGGAUGGCGACCGGCGCACGGGUGAGUAACGCGUAUCCAACCUUCCCGCAACUGGGGAAUAACCUUGCGAAAGUAAGACUAAUACCCCAUGGUCUCCACGGAUGGCAUCUGAAAUGGAGUAAAGGUUUCGGCCGGUUGCGGAUGGGGAUGCGUCCGAUUAGCUUGACGGCGGGGUAACGGCCCACCGUGGCAUCGAUCGGUAGGGGUUCUGAGAGGAAGGUCCCCCACAUUGGAACUGAGACACGGUCCAAACUCCUACGGGAGGCAGCAGUGAGGAAUAUUGGUCAAUGGGCGGAAGCCUGAACCAGCCAAGUAGCGUGAAGGACGACUGCCCUAUGGGUUGUAAACUUCUUUUAUGCGGGGAUAAAGUUCGCCACGUGUGGCGUUUUGCAGGUACCGCAUGAAUAAGGACCGGCUAAUUCCGUGCCAGCAGCCGCGGUAAUACGGAAGGUCCAGGCGUUAUCCGGAUUUAUUGGGUUUAAAGGGAGCGCAGGCGGCGGCGUAAGUCAGUUGUGAAAUCGUGCGGCUUAACCGUGCAAUUGCAGUUGAUACUGCGUCGCUUGAGUGCACACAGGGAUGUUGGAAUUCAUGGUGUAGCGGUGAAAUGCUUAGAUAUCAUGAAGAACUCCGAUCGCGAAGGCAUAUGUCCGGAGUGCAACUGACGCUGAGGCUCGAAAGUGUGGGUAUCAAACAGGAUUAGAUACCCUGGUAGUCCACACAGUAAACGAUGAAUACUCGCGGUUGGUUCGUUAGAGUCAGCCGCCAAGCGAAAGCGUUAAGUAUUCCACCUGGGGAGUACGCCGGCAACGGUGAAACUCAAAGGAAUUGACGGGGGCCCGCACAAGCGGAGGAACAUGUGGUUUAAUUCGAUGAUACGCGAGGAACCUUACCCGGGCUUGAACUGCCAGUGACUCAUGCAGAGACGCAUGUUUCUUCGGACACUGGCGGAGGUGCUGCAUGGUUGUCGUCAGCUCGUGCCGUGAGGUGUCGGCUUAAGUGCCAUAACGAGCGCAACCCCUCUCCUUAGUUGCCAUCAGGUCACGCUGGGCACUCUGGGGACACUGCCACCGUAAGGUGUGAGGAAGGUGGGGAUGACGUCAAAUCAGCACGGCCCUUACGUCCGGGGCUACACACGUGUUACAAUGGCAGGUACAGAGAGACGGUGUUCUGCAAAGCGCAUCUAAUCCUUAAAGCCUGUCUCAGUUCGGACUGGGGUCUGCAACCCGACCCCACGAAGCUGGAUUCGCUAGUAAUCGCGCAUCAGCCAUGGCGCGGUGAAUACGUUCCCGGGCCUUGCACACACCGCCCGU